AACACCAGUGGCGAAGGCAUCCCAGGUUGUUUCUGACGCUGAGGCUCGAAAGCGUGGGGAGCGAAGCGGAUUAGAUACCCGCGUAGUCCACGCCCUAAACAGUGGACACUAGAUAUAGGAGGUAUCGACCCUUUCUGUGUCGAAGCUAACGCUUUAAGUGUCCCGCCUGGGGAGUACGGCCGCAAGGCUGAAACUCAAAGGAAUUGACGGGGGUCCGCACAAGCAGCGGAGCGUGUGGUUUAAUUCGAUGCUACACGAAGAACCUUACCAGGACUUGACAUGGCAGAAGUAGGAAGCCGAAAGGCGGACGACCUGUAUCCAGUCAGGAGCUGUCACAGGUGCUGCAUGGCUGUCGUCAGCUCGUGCCGUGAGGUGUUGGGUUAAGUCCCGCAACGAGCGCAACCCUUGUCCUAUGUUAAAUUCUCAUAGGAGACUGCCUUGUACAGCAAGGAGGAAGGAAAGGAUGACGUCAAGUCAGCACGGCCUUUAUGUCCUGGGCUACACACACGCUACAAUGGACGAUACAGAGGGUUGCCAAGGAGCGAUCCGGAGCUAAUCCCCGAAAAUCGUCCUCAGUUCGGAUUGCAGGCUGAAAUCGCCUGCAUGAAGUCGGAGUU
rnacentral:rRNA from 1 species